rnacentral:rRNA from 1 species
GAGUUUGAUCAUGGCUCAGAACGAACGCUGGCGGCAUGCCUAACACAUGCAAGUCGAACGGGAUCCAGGCUUCGGCCUGGUGAGAGUGGCGGACGGGUGAGUAACGCGUGGGGACCUGCCCAAUGGUCUGGGAUAACCGCGGGAAACUGCGGCUAAUACCGGAUAAGCCCGAGAGGGGAAAGAUUUAUCGCCGAUGGAGGGGCCCGCGUCCGAUUAGGUAGUUGGUGAGGUAACGGCUCACCAAGCCGACGAUCGGUAGCUGGUCUGAGAGGAUGAUCAGCCACACUGGGACUGAGAUACGGCCCAGACUCCUACGGGAGGCAGCAGUGGGGAAUAUUGGACAAUGGGGGCAACCCUGAUCCAGCAAUGCCGCGUGAGUGAUGAAGGCCUUAGGGUUGUAAAGCUCUUUUGGCGGGGACGAUGAUGACGGUACCGCAGAAUAAGCCCCGGCUAACUUCGUGCCAGCCGCCGCCGUAAU